rnacentral:rRNA from 1 species
AAGUCGUAACAAGGUUUCCGUAGGUGAACCUGCGGAAGGAUCAUUCAUAAUAAGUGUUUUAUGGCACUUUUUAAAUCCAUAUCCACCUUGUGUGCAAUGUCAGUCGAUCUUCUUCAUGGAGAUCGGCCAAACAUCAACCUUAUUUUUUAACUCUUUGUCUGAAAAAUAUUAUGAAUAAACAAUUCAAAAUACAACUUUCAACAACGGAUCUCUUGGCUCUCGCAUCGAUGAAGAACGCAGCGAAAUGCGAUACGUAAUGUGAAUUGCAGAAUUCAGUGAAUCAUCGAAUCUUUGAACGCAUAUUGCGCUCUUUGGUAUUCCGAAGAGCAUGCUUGUUUGAGUAUCAGUAAACACCUCAAAGCUUUUGGAUUUUUUUUGAAAGCUUUGGACUUGAGCAAUCCCAACGCCAAUCUUUUUCAGAUCGGCGGCGGGUUGCUUGAAAUGCAGGUGCAGCUGGACUUUCUCCUGAGCUAAAAGCAUAUUCAUUUAGUCCCGUCAAACGGAUUAUUACUUUUGCUGCAGCUAACAUAAAGGGAGUUUGACCGUAUUGGCUGACUGAUGCAGGAUUUUACAAGGGUCGGCAACGAUUCUUGUUAAACUCGAUCUCAAAUCAAGUAAGACUACCCGCUGAACUUAAGCAUAUCAAUAAGCGGAGGAAAAGAAACUAACAAGGAUUCCCCUAGUAACGGCGAGUGAAGCGGGAUGAGCUCAAAUUUAAAAUCUGGCUGGUUUACUAGUCCGAAUUGUAGUUUAUAGAAGCGUUUUCGGUGGCAGCCUGGGUAUAAAUCCUUUGGAAUAGGGUAUCAUAGAGGGUGAGAAUCCCGUCUUUGACUCAGUGCAUGCUACUAUGUGAUACGUUUUCAAAGAGUCGAGUUGUUUGGGAAUGCAGCUCAAAAUGGGUGGUAAAUUUCAUCUAAGGCUAAAUAUUGGCGAGAGACCGAUAGCGAACAAGUACCGUGAGGGAAAGAUGAAAAGAACUUUGAAAAGAGAGUUAAACAGUGCGUGAAAUUGUUGAAAGGGAAACGUUUGACACCAGUUAUGCGGGUGGAAAAUCAGUCUUUUGCAGUGGGGAGUUGUGGGCGUUCAGACCGCAAGGCUGGCGUUUGCUUCAUCUUUGUUGUAAGUGAUGCACUUUUUCAUUUGCAGGUCAACAUCAGUUUGCUUUGCUGGACAAAACCCCAAGGGAAGGUGACAGCUUAGGCUGUGUUAUAGCCCUGGGGCGAUACAGUGGAGUGGACUGAGGUUUCGCAGUGUGUGCUCUCGGGCAAGGCUGACUGGGUGCUAUGGGAUCGUUCGGCGUACAAUGCAUGCAUUUUGCGUCGUGUCUUUUUCAUACUCGCUCAACUC